AUCCCCUCAGCCUUUCAUGCUCACGCCAGCCGCCGCCCACUGUGCAGCUCGAAGGUCAGCGCGACGAUGGCCCGAGCAGCUGAUGGUAGAAGAUGGUGACACCACCGCGGCACACCUCGCCGGUGCACGCGCGCAGCAAAAGCUGCACGCACCACUGCCGUGGCGCCCUUUGCUGGCCGCGCGCACGCACACGAGGAGUCUCAUGGCAGCGGCGGCGCUUGCUGGUGCACUGGCGGCGAGCUCUUGGAAGAGCCCAUCAGCGCCGUCUUAGGUGAGUCUAUUUCUUAAUCUUAGGGCUGGGGAUAAUGAUUCUGCAUCUUUUAACCUGUUAUCAGAUCUCUACGUAUCCGGCCUGGAUCUGGCUUCUGGAUACCGAGCAGCAGCAUCUGCAGGCUAAGACCAGCAGGCUAUAUUAAGGAACCACAGCAGGGCAUUAGAGCAUGACACUAUGACAUUGCAACUAGACCACAGAAUUAAGCCUGCAGACCUACGGCAUGGAAACAGACAUGGAGGUUGGUGCUAUCUAAUGUGGGCGCACAUGGAGAUUUGAGGCUUAAUGGAGAAUUGGUCGACUCAAAGUCGAUAGGUUGGAUUUCAGUGAUCUCGUUUCUUCCAUGCCCAUGACAUGGAGAAAUUCCAGAAACCUAAGGUAUCCACUCAUGCUCCUAACACCAAGAAAAACUAGCUGGCAGCACCUGUUGAACUAUUAGUUUGGUGACUAAGGUCACUUGUGAGAUAGGGAUGUGAGAUUUUCACUUGUUUAUUUAUCUAAGAUAACCUUGUGACUAAGGUCACUCAUUGAACUAUAGUUUGGUGUUCGUGAUGAAUGUAAUAAAUAUGUUGAUGAAUGACUUGUCAACCUAUUGAUUUGGUCAUGAAUGGAAUAUAUUGUUGGA